UACGUAGGGUGCGAACGUUAAUCGGAAUUACUGGGCGUAAAGCGUGCGCAGGCGGUUUUGUAAGCCAGAUGUGAAAUCCCCGGGCUUAACCUGGGAAUGGCAUUUGGGACUGCAAGGCUGGAGUUUGGCAGAGGAGACUGGAAUUCCUGGUGUAGCAGUGAAAUGCGUAGAUAUCAGGAGGAAUACCGAUGGCGAAGGCAGGUCUCUGGGCUAUAACUGACGCUCAUGCACGAAAGCGUGGGGAGCAAACAGG
rnacentral:rRNA from 1 species